UCCCACGAGCAGCUUAGCUCUAGCACCCCAGGCUCCCCACAGGACCUCUGCACUUGCACCAGCUCCACCCACCUCACGCCCUGAGGAACCUCCUGUUCUCACUGGGAUGUUGACUCUGGAUUUAGAGUGCCAGAAUGCUAAAGCCCACUUCUGCCAAAUCUACCCUGUGUGAUCUUGGGGAUUUCCUAUAAUAACCUAUCUGUGCUUCUGUGUUCUCUUUCGUUCUCAGGGCUAACAACAGCAUCUACCUGAUAGUGGCCUGAAUUGCUUUCUCCUAAAUUUACAAUGGUGACACUUAACCACUAGGACCUCAGAAUUUGGAGACAGGACUUUUAAAGAGGUGAUGACACAUCUCUAAUCCAUUAUGACAGCUGUCACUGGGGAGAGACUCCAGGAAUUCCUUGGCUCCUAAGGACUUUCCACUUCAUAAGCAUUGGCACCAGAUGAAUCUACUUCUGGAGAGAGCUAGCCCCUGCAGGUGCCCACAAGGCUGGCAUUGGUGCCUGAAGGAGGGCUAGGGACAUGACUGAAGCCCGCAGCUCAGGGAUGUACGUCCUCCCAGUAGCAAGCAAAUGGCCCUCAGCAAGUCCAGGAGGGAUGCCUCAGUGGAAACCAGCUUAGAAGCAGCUCGAUCUCGAAAUUUUAGCUCCAGAAUUAUGAGAUAAUAAAGUUCUGUUGACUCAGCA